rnacentral:rRNA from 1 species
CCUACGGGUGGCAGCAGUAGGGAAUCUUCGGCAAUGGUCGAGAGUCUGACCGAGCAACGCCGCGUGAGUGAAGAAGGUUCUCGGAUCGUAAAACUCUGUUGGUAGAGAAGAACGUUGGUGAGAGUGGAAAGCGCAUCAAGUGACGGUAACUACCCAGAAAGGUACGGCUAACUACGUGCCAGCAGCCGCGGUAAUACGUAGGUCCCGAGCGUUGUCCGGAUGUAUUGGGGGUAAAGCGAGCGCAGGUGGUUGAUUAAGUCUGGUGUAAAAGGCAGGGGCUCAACCAUUGUAUGCAUUUGAAACUGGCAGACUUGAGUGCAGGAGAGGAGAGUGGAAUUCCAUGUGUAGCGGUGAAAUGCGUAGAUAUAUGGCGGAACACCGGUGGCGAAAGCAGCUCUCUGGCCUGUAACUGACACUGAGGCUCGAAAGCGUGGGGAGCGAACAGGAUUAGAUACCCUAGUAGUC